ACCGAUGCUGGCAUUAAGACCGCACUCAAUGAGCUGUAUUCCGCCAUAAGCAACCAGGAAAACGCUCAUCCAGAGGCGGCGCUCCUAGUGACCGGGGACGUUAAUGCAGGGAAACUUAAAUCUGUUUUACGAAACUUCUAUCAGCAUGUUAAAUGUGCAACCAGAGGGAUAAAAAUUACUAGCGGCGUGACCACCUUUACUCCACACACAGAGACGCAUCUCCCUCACCCUCCAUUUGGCAAAUCUACCCUCCUAAAGCAGGAAGCACCAGUGACACGAUCAAUAAAAAAGUGGUCAGAUGAAGCAGAUGCUAAGCUAAAGGACUGUUUUGCUAGCACAGACUGGAAUAUGUUCCGGGGUGGCAUUGAGGAGUACACCACAUCUGUCAUUGGCAACCAGACGCCAUGGAUUACAGGCAACAUCCGCACUGAGCUAAAUGCUAGAGCUGCUGCUUUCAAGGAGCGGGACUGUAACCCGGAAGAUCAUAAGAAAUCCCGCUAUGCCCUCCGACGAACCACCAAACAGGCCAAGCGUUAAUACAGGACUAAGAUCGAAUUGUACUACACCGGCUCCGACGCUCGUCGGAUGUGGCAGGGCUUGCAAACCAUUACAGACUACAAAGGGAAGCACAGCCGAGGGCUGCCUAGUGACUCGAGCCUACCAGAUGAGCUAUACUACUUCUACGCUUGCUUCGAGGCACAUAACCCUGAAACAUGCAUUAGAGCACCAGCUGUUUUGGAUGACUGUGUGAUCACGCUCUCCAUAGUCAAUGUCGUUGCUGUAAAUGAGAAUGUGUUCUCAGUCUACUUACCUCGUAAAAUAAGUUUGCAGAUGACACAACAGUGGUAGGCCUGGACAACAACGAGACAGUCUGUAGGCAGGAGGUCAGUGACCUGGCUGUGUGGUGCCACAACAACAACCUCUCCCUCAAUGUGAUCAAGAUAAAGUAGAUGAUUGUGGACUACAUGAAAAGGAGGACCAAGCAUGCCUACAUUCUCAUUGACGGAUCAGGUUGAGAGCUUCAAGUUCCUUGGUGUCCACAUCAUCAAAUUAAAUUUAUUUAUAUAGCCCUUCGUACAUCAGCU
ensembl:lncRNA